CAGAACAUGAGAACAAAACUCAUCUCUCGUUAGAUCGAUUUCCCCAACAAUCUUCUAAUUAUCUUUUUUUUUUUGUAUCAGAUUAAGGUAUGUAUGAUUGUUUCUUUUUUAGUUAUCAUCUUAAUCUUCUAAUUCGCUUUCUUUUUUGUUUCUAAUUUUUUGACUCUCUCUCUCUCUCUAUAUAUAUAUAUAUAUUCUUCCACAGAGAGAGAUUAGGGUUUACACCUUUUCAAUUGACCAUUCUACCUCAGUGGAGUAGAGGAGAGCUCCAAGAAGAUGAAGCAAUCCACAAGGAGGAAAUCUUCCAUUCUCCCAAUUGAGGCACGCAAUAUGGUACUACUUUUAUUUUUACUCCCCUUCUUUCUGUGUGUAUCCUGCAUAUAUAUGACUUAAUCAUCAAAUGCAUGAGUUUACUCAUCAUUUCACUAUUUGUUCUUUCGGGAUAAUGUUUUGAUAGAGUUCUUGAUUUAUAGAAGUUUAUCUUGGAUGAUUGUUGGUCCUGUUACUGUGUUUGUUGGUGGUUUUAAUUCCCCCCAACUGUAUAUGUUGGUUUUGUUUCUUCUGUUGAAGAUAUUCCCCUGGUACCUAGUAAAAGAACAAAACUUCUAUAAGUUGGGGAUGAUAUAAUGUAAAUUAUCUUAGAUUGCAUUAAUUGUAAAGAGUUUGAAUGAGUAGGAAAAUCACACACUGUAUUGUUGAUGACAGUACUAUAUAUACACAAUAAGAGUAACAAGAAGUUUGUUACUGAUCCUAUAAAUCUGAGUUGUUUAAACUAAUUCCUAUAUUUUCUAUGUACAGCUAAUAUACUUAUACAAGAUAAAGGAGAAUAAGUCAACAAGCCAGUCAGGAAGUAGUUUCUAAAAUGAAGGAGUUGAUGUAAUCGUCUGUUAUGCCCCCUCAAGAUGGAGGUCUAGAGAGAAGUCCAAUCUUGAAUUUGAGUUGUAGAAAUCGUUGUCGUGAAAGAGGCUUUGUGAGUGCAUCUGCUAUUUGAUCUUGAGAGGAGACAUGAGCAACACGUAGAGCACCAUUUUGAACUUGAUCUCGAAUAAAACGAAAAUCAAUGGCAAUAUGCUUCAUUUGUGAAUGAAAUACUGGAUUUGAGCAUAAUUGUUGUGCCCCAAUGUUAUCACAGUAUAUAAUUGGACAACAAUGAAGUGUAAUGCCAAGAUCUGAAAGGAGAUAGCAAACCCAUUUAAUUUCAGCAGCAGUAUUAGCAACUGAACGAUACUCAGCUUCGGUAGAAGAUCGAGCAACAGCCCUUUGCUUUUUAGAACUCCAAGACACAGGAUUUUUUCCAAGAUAAACAACAUAUGCACCGGUAGAAGAAAAAGUGUCUUGUCGCUUGCCCAAUCAGCAUCAGAAAAGGCAUGCAAACUGAGAGAUGAAUCAUGAGAAAUUUGUAAACCAUCAUUGAUGGUGCCAACCAGAUAUCGUAAAACCUGUUUUACGUAAGACCAAUGCUCAGUUGUUGGACAAUGCAUGUAUUGGGAUAACUUGUUAACAACAAAGGUAAUGUCUGGCCGUGUAAUGAGCAAAUAUUGAAGGCUGCCCACAACAGUUCUAUAUUGAGAAGGAUCUGAUAAAGAAGAACCCGAGUGUAAUGUAAGGGAUGGAUUUGUUGGCAGUGGAGUGAGAACUGGUUUGGCUUCGUGCAUUCGAGUUUGUGUUAAGAGGUCUUGAAUAUAUCGUCUUUGUGAGAGAAGGACACCAUUCUUGUUAGGGACAACUUCUAUACCCAG
rnacentral:lncRNA from 1 species